GGUGUCCUGCACGUUCCUGCAUGUGGCUAAAGAUGGUCAGGUGAACACCUCCACCUGGGAGCAGGAGCAGGUUGACUCUCCCCACAGUGAUUCAGAGGAACAGUACGACUCUGAGGAGAGUGAGGAGAGCCUUAGCCAAGAGGAGAUGGAGGUGCCCUUUACUUGGGACCAUCUUACAGAGAGAGGGGUAACUGAUAUCGGCCUGAAGCUGCAUGCUCUCCGUGAGGCGUUCGCU